CUUCCAGUAGCACCUUAGAGACCAACUAAGUUUGUUAUUGGUAUGAGCUUUGGUAUGAUAAUAUCUGAAGAAGUGUGCAUGCACACGAAAGCUCAUACCAAUAAAAAACUUAGUUGGUCUCUAAGGUGCUACUGGAAG